rnacentral:rRNA from 1 species
CCCAGACUCCUACGGGAGGCAGCAGUGGGGAAUAUUGCACAAUGGGGGAAACCCUGAUGCAGCGACGCCGCGUGAGUGAAGAAGUAUUUCGGUAUGUAAAGCUCUAUCAGCAGGGAAGAAAAUGACGGUACCUGAUUAAGAAGCCCCGGCUAACUACGUGCCAGCAGCCGCGGUAAUACGUAGGGGGCAAGCGUUAUCCGGAUUUACUGGGUGUAAAGGGAGCGUAGACGGUGAUGCAAGUCAGAAGUGAAAGCCCGGGGCUCAACUCCGGGACUGCUUUUGAAACUGUGUAACUGGAGUGCAGGAGAGGUAAGCGGAAUUCCUGGUGUAGCGGUGAAAUGCGUAGAUAUCAGGAGGAACACCAGUGGCGAAGGCGGCUUACUGGACUGUAACUGACGUUGAGGCUCGAAAGCGUGGGGAGCAAACAGGAUUAGAUACCCGAGUAAA